rnacentral:rRNA from 1 species
UGGCUCAGGAUGAACGCUAGCUACAGGCUUAACACAUGCAAGUCGAGGGGCAGCAUGACGGAAGCUUGCUUCCGUUGAUGGCCGACCGGCGCACGGGUGAGUAACGCGUAUCCAACCUGCCCUUGUCCAUCGGAUAACCCGUCGAAAGGCGGACUAACACGAUAUGCAGUCCACAGCAGGCAUCUAACGUGGAUGAAAUGCGAAGGAGAAGGAUGGGGAUGCGUCUGAUUAGCUUGUUGGCGGGUAACGGCCCACCAAGGCAACGAUCAGUAGGGGUUCUGAGAGGAAGGUCCCCCACACUGGAACUGAGACACGGUCCAAACUCCUACGGGAGGCAGCAGUGAGGAAUAUUGGUCAAUGGGCGGAAGCCUGAACCAGCCAAGUAGCGUGCAGGACGACGGCCCUAUGGGUUGUAAACUGCUUUUAUGCGGGGAUAAAGUGGGCCACGUGUGGCCUUUUGCAGGUACCGCAUGAAUAAGGACCGGCUAAUUCCGUG